rnacentral:rRNA from 1 species
GUCGAGUCGGCCUGCGCGGAAGAUGUAACGGGGCUAAACUGUGCACCGAAGCUGCGGCAGCGACACGAUGUGUUGUUGGGUAGGGGAGCGUUCUGUAAGCCUGCGAAGGUGGCCUGUGAGGGUUGCUGGAGGUAUCAGAAGUGCGAAUGCUGACAUAAGUAACGAUAAUGCGGGUGAAAAGCCCGCACGCCGGAAGACCAAGGGUUCCUGUCCAACGUUAAUCGGGGCAGGGUGAGUCGACCCCUAAGGCGAGGCCGAAAGGCGUAGUCGAUGGGAAACAGGUUAAUAUUCCUGUACUUGGUGUUACUGCGAAGGGGGGACGGAGAAGGCUAUGUUAGCCGGGCGACGGUUGUCCCGGUUUAAGCAUGUAGGCGGAGGUUCCAGGUAAAUCCGGUACCUUUUAACGCUGAGGUGUGAUGACGAGGCACUACGGUGCUGAAGUAACAAAUGCCCUGCUUCCAGGAAAAGCCUCUAAGCAUCAGGUAACAUUGAAUCGUACCCCAAACCGACACAGGUGGUCAGGUAGAGAAUACCAAGGCGCUUGAGAGAACUCGGGUGAAGGAACUAGGCAAAAUGGUGCCGUAACUUCGGGAGAAGGCACGCUGGCGCUAGGUGAAGUGGUUUACCCAUGGAGCUGAAGCCAGUCGCAGAUACCAGCUGGCUGCAACUGUUUAUUAAAAACACAGCACUGUGCAAACACGAAAGUGGACGUAUACGGUG